CCCGCAUAAACAGCUGACCUUCUCAUCAUGGUUACUGAGACUCUCGCAGCUGACAGCGAGUGGGUGUUUAGUAGUCAAACCGUGAAACACAGUUGGGUUCCCGCUGGUAGACUAGUGCGGUGUCGUGUUUCUGGUCACGUUUUCUCCGAGUCACAAUUAGAAACACAACAACUUACGCCGCGUGGGAGAACCUUGUAACCGUAACAAUGAAGACGGUCUAGCAAGUCGCAGGCGAAGCAGCUAACUAGGUCCUGCUUUGGCGUCUUGGGCCGCUGGGAGACGCAUACAGACCUAACAACAUCCAUAGUCCUUAUUGGAUCUACAUUUGAUUGUUGGGCCUCUGACCGUGUGUGUGUGUGUGUAUGUGUGUGUGUGUGUGUGUGUGUGUGUGUGUGUGUGUGUGUGUGUGUGUGUGUGUGUGUGUGUGUGUGUGCGCGCGGCAGUGUUCAUACUCCAAGUCAGCGUUCCUCCAUCAGCACCACCCGAAACGUGAUCGACAUGAACCCAGUGACCGCCACGGUCCUCUGGUCUGCUGCUUGUAUUUAAUUAAUCUCCCACCCUCUGGAUCAUAAUGGGUACACAAAGACUGUUAGGCGUGCCAAAUGGCGCCCUAUUUCUAUAGGACCCUGGUCUACAGUAGUGGCCUAUGGAGGGACUAGGGUGGCAUUUUGGCGUGCAGACACUGAUUCUUUAUGUAACUCAGAGAAUACUGGGUUUGUAUAGGGUAUAGUAUGUGAAAGGUUUAGCGGUAGACAACGAUCAUAUGCCUGAACAAGUGAGUCAAAUACAGUGUUUGGGUUACGGAUAAACUACGCGUGUGUAUUUUAAAUUGCUGGAGUCACCGUCUCAACCUCUCAUAACUGAUUUUAAUGUAUCGAACCAUUCUUCUCAUCAAGUCCCACUGAUACCGCUGUCUCGUUAGCGAGGUACACCUGGUUCAUAGAAAAACAGCUUGAAAUCAUCAGAACUGCUUUUUUCCCCAGAAUUAUUAUGCAACCUUGUGAAAACAGCCAACUGAGAGACUCUUGACCAACAGGAAAAAGACGUUGCUGAG
ensembl:lncRNA